rnacentral:tRNA from 1 species
GGCGAUGUAGCUCAGUUGGUUAGAGCAUGCGGCUCAUAUCCGCAGUGUCCGGGGUUCAAGUCCCUGCAUCGCUACCA